rnacentral:rRNA from 1 species
AUUGAACGCUGGCGGCAGGCCUAACACAUGCAAGUCGAACGGUAACAGGAAGCAGCUUGCUGCUUCGCUGACGAGUGGCGGACGGGUGAGUAAUGUCUGGGAAACUGCCUGAUGGAGGGGGAUAACUACUGGAAACGGUAGCUAAUACCGCAUAACGUCGCAAGACCAAAGAGGGGGACCUUAGGGCCUCUUUCCAUCGGAUGUGCCCAGAUGGGAUUAGCUAGUAGGUGGGGUAACGGCUCACCUAGGCGACGAUCCCUAGCUGGUCUGAGAGGAUGACCAGCCACACUGGAACUGAGACACGGUCCAGACUCCUACGGGAGGCAGCAGUGGGGAAUAUUGCACAAUGGGCGCAAGCCUGAUGCAGCCAUGCCGCGUGUAUGAAGAAGGCCUUCGGGUUGUAAAGUACUUUCAGCGGGGAGGAAGGGAGUAAAGUUAAUACCUUUGCUCAUUGACGUUACCCGCAGAAGAAGCACCGGCUAACUCCGUG